rnacentral:rRNA from 1 species
CCCUUAGAUGUCCGGGGCCGCACGCGCGCUACACUGAGUGUCUGAGAUACGAGUCUGCCUGGUCCGGCAAGGUCUAGGUAAUCGCUAAAAGACACAUCAUGCUUGGGAUAGAUUUUUGCAAAUAUUAAUCUUGAACGAGGAAUUCCUAGUAAGCGCAAGUCAACAGCUUGCGUUGAUUACGUCCCUGCCCUUUGUACACACCGCCCGUCGCUACUACUGAUUGGAUGUUUAAGCGAGGUUCUCGAACUGCUAGCGACUUAGCUUCGGUGAGGUCGCAGUGUGGGAAGUGAACCUAGCUUUGGUGUCUAGAGGAAGUAAAAGUCGUAACA